rnacentral:rRNA from 1 species
UACCUGCAGCUCGAGUGGUAACCGUUAUUAUUGGGCCUAAAGCGUCCGUAGCCGGUUUGGUAAAUAUCUGGGUAAAUCGUGAGGCUUAACUUCACGAAUUUCGGAUAGACUGCCAGACUUGGGAUCGGGGGAGGUCAGAGGUACUCCAGGGGUAGCGGUGAAAUGUUGUAAUCCUUGGAGGACCACCGGUAGCGAAGGCGUCUGACUAGAACGAGUCCGACGGUGAGGGACGAAGCCCUGGGGCGCAAACCGGAUUAGAUACCCGGGUAGUCCAGGGUGUAAACGAUGUGGGCUUUGUAUUGGAGGUCCCACGUGGGCGUCCAGUGCAGAAGAGAAGUUGUUAAGCCCACCGCCUGGGAAGUACGGUCGCAAGGCUGAAACUUAAAGGAAUUGGCGGGGGAGCACAGCAACGGGAGGAGCGUGCGGUUU